rnacentral:rRNA from 1 species
UACGAAGGGGGCUAGCGUUGCUCGGAAUCAUUGGGCGUAAAGGGUGCGUAGGCGGGUCUUAAGUCAGGGGUGAAAUCCUGGAGCUCAACUCCAGAACUGCCUUUGAUACUGAGGAUCUUGAGUUCGGGAGAGGUGAGUGGAACUGCGAGUGUAGAGGUGAAAUUCGUAGAUAUUCGCAAGACACCAGUGGCGAAGGCGGCUCACUGGCCCGAUACUGACGCUGAGGCACGAAAGCGUGGGAGCAAACAGG